GCGAUUCCAGCUUCAUGCACUCGAGUUGCAGAGUGCAAUCCGGACUACGAUCGGUUUUCUGGGAUUAGCUCCCCCUCGCGGGUUGGCAACCCUCUGUUCCGACCAUUGUAUGACGUGUGAAGCCCUACCCAUAAGGGCCAUGAGGACUUGACGUCAUCCCCACCUUCCUCCGGUUUGUCACCGGCAGUCUCCUUAGAGUGCUCUUGCGUAGCAACUAAGGACAAGGGUUGCGCUCGUUGCGGGACUUAACCCAACAUCUCACGACACGAGCUGACGACAGCCAUGCAGCACCUGUGUAUCGGUUCUCUUUCGAGCACUCCCACCUCUCAGCAGGAUUCCGACCAUGUCAAGGGUAGGUAAGGUUUUUCGCGUUGCAUCGAAUUAAUCCACAUCAUCCACCGCUUGUGCGGGUCCCCGUCAAUUCCUUUGAGUUUUAAUCUUGCGACCGUACUCCCCAGGCGGUCAACUUCACGCGUUAGCUACGUUACUAAGGAAAUGAAUCCCCAACAACUAGUUGACAUCGUUUAGGGC
rnacentral:rRNA from 1 species